CUUUAUGGAGCGGUUAAUCAACUGCGCAUCAGCGAGACAGCGCAUCAGCCCAUCUGCUUGAUAUAUAUUCAGGAGGGCUCCAGCCCUUUUGAAGUCUAAUUUCUUCCCCGGGAGAACGCGCCGGGUAAUUUACCAUCAUUUCAUACGCAUCGCGGCCACCGAGUUAACCCUUUCCCCAAGCGCUGCCCGCACGGGAUUUUCCUCCCGAAAAACGCCGGGUGCAACGCUACAAACUUGUCAAAGCGUCUUUCCGAUGAUGCUCCUUGAAAUAAGAGAUCGCAGCUCACCGACACUGUAACCCCUUGGAUCUGUCGGGUUAGAAAGGAGGGGUUGUGAAAGAUCUGCUUGGGAUAAGCAAACGCUUAGAACCGCCCAUGCCAACGCGCAUCAUUUCAUCCCCAACCACCUACUGCUGGCUUUGUUUUUAAGAUCUUUGGGAUUUUGUUUUUAUUUUUUAUUUCUUUAUUUCUUUAUUUUCGCAGGACCCAGCCCCAUAGCGGCAGUGCGAGCAGUCACUCCUUCUCUGUUACCUGCAAUAAAUGCCAUCUCCUGCAGCAGUUUUUUUCCUCCGAAGUCUGCUUUUAAAAGGAGGGACACGGGAGGGCUUGUGUUUGUCCGUGCCACACAAAUGCUGCCUUGGGAAAAGGCUCAGUGCAUGGGGUUAGGCUGACCCAGGGGCAAGGACAAAGCUGGCACUCCGGGAACCAGGGAUCCCUGUUAGGUGUGGACACCAGGCUCUUCUGUGCUGCUUUUUGAAAAGGCAGAGGAAAGUGGGCCAAAUGCUUCCAUACAAUUGCAUUUCUUUGGAUUUAAGGUCCCUUCCAACAUAAGCCAUUCCAUGAUGUCAGUUCCUGUGAUAGAAGCUUCUCUUUUAUUAUUUGUUUCUUAUCCACCUGCAUGCUCCUUUUUGUUUCUCCCUCUAUUUUCCUCUGGCUGGUACUUAUGCUGAACUAAGUCCCACUGUUAAGGAUGGUCCAUCAAAAUGCUGGCUCUGGGCUGACAGCUGGGAUGACUUGUUGGAUCACUUCCACACCUAUGUGCUUAACCCUACGGCAGUCGUACAGCUGGGAGCUUGCCCAAACCGUUGGCCAGCAUCCCUUGUUGGGACUGCUGCCUCCAGUUCUUAGACUGGCUGCUUCUCCCUGUGUCCUGUUUGUGGCAAAAGACAUAGGACCUACCAGGGUUAGGUGACCUUCGGUAUCAGGGCAAGAGCACAGGUUGUGUGUCAUCUUACGCUUCUUGCACCAUGUACUUCUUCUCCAGUCCCUUCAGAAGUAUUCCCAGCGAGGAGACUGUGUUCAACGCUAGGGAUGCUGCUUUCCUCCAUUAUAGAGAUGGUUCACCUGGGCUAUGCCUCCUUCUGGGGCUCUGCUUCCUCCUGCCCUGGGAAGCAGGAUGUAGAGCAGAUGCCUUACUCCAGCUUUAGUUUGUUUUUUGGAGUGGAUUGAGAGGGAGGGUAGAGCAGAGAUUUCUGUUAAAGGGCACAGCUGAGGAAGCCUUGGGAAGGAUGGCAGCUGCAGGCAGCUUCAGCAGGCAAGUCAUUCUCCCCACCUGUAGCUUGUUCCAUCCUCAGAGUUCAUUCAGGUCACUUAGAGGUGAGAAAGCUUGAAAUAGGAUGCACACACAGCUCCCUUUGGAUCUUCCUCCAUGAUGUGGGUGUUAUCUGGAUGUUGCUUUUUGGAGAGAAGGAAAGAUGCAUUCUGAUGUGCAGAGAUACCUACAGGCCUUGAUCAUGCUUCAGCAACCAGCCCUGUGAAACUAACACAGCACAGGAUUACGGAGCUGAGCAAGUGAGGAAGGAGUCAGAGCAUUGGACUCUCCAUUUACCACCACCACAAAGAUGAUAAAACACUUCUCCACUUGGAGCCACUGUGGCUUCUGACUGCCAUGUCAUUUUCUGAGAGAAGCAGGAACUGAGAAUUUGGGAGUUUGAAGCACCCCUGAUAAUUUACUUACAGCCCAUAUUGU
ensembl:lncRNA